rnacentral:rRNA from 1 species
GUGAGGAAUAUUGGUCAAUGGGCGCAAGCCUGAACCAGCCAUGCCGCGUGCAGGAAGACGGUCCUAUGGAUUGUAAACUGCUUUUAUUUGGGAAUAAACUCCGGUACGUGUACCGGCCUGAAGGUACCAAAUGAAUAAGCACCGGCUAACUCCGUGCCAGCAGCCGCAGUAAUACGGAGGGUGCAAGCGUUAUCCGGAAUCAUUGGGUUUAAAGGGUCCGCAGGCGGUCUUAUAAGUCAGUGGUGAAAGCCUACAGCUCAACUGUAGAACUGCCAUUGAUACUGUAGGACUUGAAUUCGAUCGAAGUGGGCGGAAUGUGACAUGUAGCGGUGAAAUGCUUAGAUAUGUCACAGAACACCGAUAGCGAAGGCAGCUCACUAGGUCUGGAUUGACGCUCAGGGACGAAAGCGUGGGGAGCAAACAGGAUUAGAAACCCUAGUAGUCC